UACGUAGGUGGCAAGCGUUGUCCGGAAUUAUUGGGCGUAAAGAGCUCGUAGGCGGUUUGUUGCGUCGGCUGUGAAAUCCCGAGGCUCAACCUCGGGUCUGCAGUCGAUACGAGCAAACUAGAGUGUUGCAGGGGAGACUGGAAUUCCUGGUGUAGCGGUGGAAUGCGCAGAUAUCAGGAGGAACACCGAUGGCGAAGGCAGGUCUCUGGGCCAUUACUGACACUGAGAAGCGAAAGCAUGGGGAGCGAACAGG
rnacentral:rRNA from 1 species